rnacentral:rRNA from 1 species
UACGUAGGGUGCAAGCGUUAAUCGGAAUUACUGGGCGUAAAGCGUGCGCAGGCGGUCUUGCAAGACAGAUGUGAAAUCCCCGGGCUCAACCUGGGAACUGCAUUUGUGACUGUAGAGCUGGAGUGCGGCAGAGGGGGAUGGAAUUCCGCGUGUAGCAGUGAAAUGCGUAGAUAUGCGGAGGAACACCGAUGUCGAAGGCAAUCCCCUGGGCCUGCACUGACGCUCAUGCACGAAAGCGUGGGGAGCAAACAGG